rnacentral:piRNA from 1 species
UUGUCAAGCCUGAAACUAAGUGUACCUCA